UUGGGAUCUCUCUUUUUGAAAUUUAUGUAUACUCUAACGGAAGUUUUCUCUCUCUCUCGUAUCUAUCAUUGUUUUCUAGAAACUCUAACUUCUUACAUCUCCGCAUCUGGUGAUCUGGAAAGGUUGAAGAACCGGAGUAUUUUUUUUCGGCGGUCUAGCUUACUCCACUGAUCUAAUCAUAAUCUCUCAAUUCGACUAAGUAAUCGAUUCCUAAGAUCUGAUUAAAGUUUUCUUUGCUUGAUGAAAAGGAGAAGAAGACGCUUUUUGAUGCUACAGAUCUACAUCGUUACAAGAUGAUGGUGAUAUCAUAUAAGUGUGGUUCUGAUUCAUUGUAGUGUUAAGUGUAAUCAAGGAAGCGACUCUUAGCUGCAAAUUCCAGAGCUUAUAAUGUGGUUUCGAACUCAGAAAAUAAAUAAGCGAUGCAGAAGAUGGAAAAUGAGUUCAUGAUAUAGUGGGACGGUCUGAGGACAAAGGAAAGACCAUGUUCUGCUUCUUGCAGCCACAAAGACCUUUUGACCUUGAUGAGGCUAUCAUUAGAAAGGCUGUCUCGUAGGUAAUUUUAUAAAUAUCUUCCUUGUUGGACUAAGCUUUCAGUCAAAUUGACUUCUGCAGGUUGAUGGUGAGACUACCAGAUGCUAUGAAUAUAACAAAAAUUUUAAAGGUUAUACUUGCAAAAGAAGACUUGUCCCCUGAUAUGGAUAUUGAUGGAGUUACUAGUAUGACUAAUAGAUAUUAAGGAAACGAUCUUAAGAUUAGUAACAAGUGUGUCAAAACCAGAGUUGAGACGUAUUCAAGGAUUAAAUCUCUGGAGCAAAGAAGACAAUGAUGAGAUUUUCAAGGGUUAUGGGAAAGGAAAUCCCGAGGGAAGAUAAAUGAGAUCGCUGCGGGAUGGUCAACUUCUCAGAAGGAGUAUAGGACCAACUUCAAUGUGCACAUAUGGUAUAAUUCUACAUACAAGGAGAAAUCAGGAAAUAGACGUACAAAGUUGGUCCAAGUUCUCCGCUUAGUCAAUUUGGUGUCAAAAGCUUACCUUCAAUAUUUACAAGGUCUAGGGGACACGGAUGUUGUUUGAAUAUGCCAAAGAAAUGUCUAAACCAGAAACAAUGACUUAUUGCAGUAGCAAGAAUAGAUUGAUGGAUCAGGUGAAACUACCGCGAACUCUCACCAAAAACCAGAGUGCACUAAUCCAUUGCAGUAGCAAGAGUACAUUGAUGAAUGUGCUUUUCAGGAAAGUGGCAGCUGAGGCAGUUUUAUUAAUCUCAUUUGUUUGAGUCUAAGAUUCAUUGCUAUAAUUAAGUUUCUCAAACUUUUUCAGGAUUGUGAAGUAGCAUGAACGUACAUGCUAUCUAGGCCCAUCUUCAUCCACGUACACAUCCAUUAAUUAGUAUUCAGUAGGUAACUUUGCAUCUAGAACGUAUAUAAUCAUCCUAGUACUUUAUCACAACUUUUUUUUAUUAACAAUUGUGAUUUUCAUAUCCAAGCUUAUUAAUGACUUGCUAUAUGUAUGUGCUUUUAAAUCUGAGUUUUCUAUAUGUCCAAACUUUAGAGAUGAUUGUGAGGUCAUUUUUAAAAAAUUCCCGAAGAAAUGUAUGUGCGAGAAAAGUAGAAAACUCCCAUUCAUAUGGAGUCAAUGCAGUGGGAACACUAAAACUGAAUAAACUGGUGACCACUUGUUUACAAUCAAAAGCAAAAUAAGACCGUGUAAGCAGCAUCUCUAAAAACCAGAGAUCGACAACCUGGCCAUGAAUCAUGCAAAGCCUAUGUAUACCACUUUUGCAAAAAGAAGCCAAGAACCGGAGUAAUUGUGGAAAGGGUGAUUAAAAAAAAAAGACAGGGGACCUUGGUUUCAAUUUCAAGAGCAAAUUUCAUAGCCAACUGAACUGCUGGUUUAUCAAUCAUUUCUCUCCACGAUUCCUAGACCGUGGUUUGAAGAAUCUACUUGCGAAUAAUAUUGUGUUUGCAGGAAAGCAUGUGUGAAGAAUGUUGUCCAAAUCUCAGAGGAGACAAGCGGUAGGAAUUAACAAACCCAUGGACGAAUUAGUUUCUUGAAGGUUUUAAGGUUCGACACAUAAGAGACGUAGGCGGAGCAUCAAGGGAUUUCCUCCAAAGAUUUUUAGAGCUAAUGUCUGGCGGUUGUCGGCUGAAUGGAUAAGUAUGCUCAGAGCAAAACGACGACUAGCGUUCUUUUGCCUCGAGGCAAUCUCUAACUGCCAUAAGAAUACCUGCAGAAGCUUAAUCAGCCUCUUGGGGAUCACCAUUCACCAAACAAUCCAACCUCUUCGAUAGCCUGAUUGCGAUUGAUAUGUUGAAUUAUCCUCCAUCUAUGUGUGCAUACAUUCUGACAUGCAUUCAUACAUUAACAUGUGCAUACACACACAUGGGUGCAUACAUACAUACAUUCACAUGUGCAUACAAUACAUACAUUAACAUGUGCACACAUUUAGACAUGGGUGCAUACAUACAUAUAUUCACAUGUGCAUACACUCAAACAUGUUUACAUACAUUCAGAUGUGCAUACAUUCAUUCAUGCACAUGCAUUCAUAUGUGCAUACAUGCAUUCAUGAAUAUUUUCUUUUUUUGAUGCAUACAUACGUUGUUUGCUUCUUUACAUCUAUUGUAAACUUGUUCACUUGCUUUCUUCUUUGCUUCUUUUGCUUACUAUGUUUGCUCAUUUACUUGUUGUGUCUUGUUUGUU